AGUUCUGCGAAAAUGGGUGAUUUAGUAAAGCAGAGAGGUUCUGCUUUUGUACCUUCCCAGAGAGAGGGUCAGGACUGGCUCCAGCCCUCUCCUACGACCUGGCAAGCAGCAUGGCCUGCCCAGCCUGCCAGGAUGAGAGCCCAAAACAGUCUUUCAACAUUAUCACGUGCCUAAACAGACUAGAUUAUGGAGCCUAUGCUUUUCUUGGGAUAUCGUGGACUUGAAAUCAGAACUGAAAUAAAAUUGAGCUGUUGUGUUGCCUAAAUGUGGUGAUGACAUUCUGUUCCAGAUGUCCGCAACAAUGACCUCAUCUAAAACUGCAAUUCCCUGACACUUCAGUCAUUUUCAGACAAAUUCUGAAAAAA